rnacentral:rRNA from 1 species
GAACGGGUGAGUAACGCGUGAGAACCUGCCUUUCAGUGGGGGACAACAGUUGGAACGACUGCCUAAUACCCCAUAAUAUGGGCGCUCCGCAUGGAGAGCCCAUUAAAGAGAGCAAUUUUGGUUACAGACGAGCAUGCGCUCCAUUAGCCAGUUGGCGGGGUAACGGCCCACCAAAGCGACGAUGGAUAGGGGUUCUGAGAGGAAGGUCCCCCACAUUGGAACUGAGACACGGUCCAAACUCCUACGGGAGGCAGCAGUGAGGAAUAUUGGUCAAUGGUCGGCAGACUGAACCAGCCAAGUCGCGUGAGGGAAGACGGCCCUACGGGUUGUAAACCUCUUUUGUCGGAGAGUAAAGUACGCUACGUGUAGCGUAUUGCAAGUAUCCGAAGAAAAAGCAUCGGCUAACUCCGUG